UAAUACGUAGGUGGCAAGCGUUGUCCGGAUUUAUUGGGCGUACAGGGCGCGCAGGCGGUUCGUUUAGUCCGAGGUGAAAUCUCCUGGCUCAACUGGGAGAGGUCUUCGGAUACUGGCGGGCUUGAGGAGAGCAGAGGUGAGUGGAAUUCUGGGUGUAGUGGUGAAAUGCGUAGAUAUCCAGAGGAACACCAGUGGCGAAGGCGACUCACUGGGCUCCACCUGACGCUGAGGCGCGAAAGCGUGGGGAGCGAACCGGAUUAGAUACCCGGGUAGUCCACGCCGUAAACGAUGGUCACUAGGUGUGGGGGGUAUUGACCCCCUCCGUGCCGUAGCUAACGCAGUAAGUGACCCGCCUAGGGAGUACGGCCGCAAGGCUA
rnacentral:rRNA from 1 species